rnacentral:rRNA from 1 species
GUGGAGUGAUCUGUCUGCUUAAUUGCGUUUCACUAAGGGCCCAUAAAUUCAAGGUAUGUUAGCAAAUGCUGCUCUAUUGACCCCUAAUAGGCUUAACUGUCUUUAGCGCGUGUCUCUACGAGUUCUUUAAAGCACUGCGCAUGCUGUUGGGUCCUGAAAGCAACGAACGUGACCGCAACGUCUUGUUGCCUCUCUAUAAUAUCUUCUUAUUUUUAAUAAGAGUAUUUACCUGAGGCUAUUUUAAAACUAGACGGACCGCUGUUUCUUUCUUAAACCAGAGGAAGGUUGCGGCAAUAACAGGUCUGUGAUGCCCUUAGAUGUUCCGGGCUGCACACGUGCUACAAUGAUCAGUACAGUGAGCAUCUCAAUUUUAUAACACCGUAUUAAGCGCUUGGGUCGUAAUUGUUAGGCCUUUUGGGUUUUUUCAAUUGCGUUUCUCUAAUGCGCACGGUAAAGCCUGCUUCGAGAGUAAGUGGGUAAUCCAUUGGAAGUAAUGAUUUCCUUAUUUUUAUAAACAGCACACCAAUAUACGGCAUUCAUUCCCGAGACGGCUUAGUUCCGACUUUGUGCGAAUGUAAUGUAUUCUUAUCCGUAUGUGCGAUUGUCAAUUCAUGGUGGGGACAGA